CAGUAGCCGCGGUAAUACGAAGGGGGCUAGCGUUGCUCGGAAUCACUGGGCGUAAAGGGUGCGUAGGCGGGUCUUUAAGUCAGGGGUGAAAUCCUGGAGCUCAACUCCAGAACUGCCUUUGAUACUGAAGAUCUUGAGUUCGGGAGAGGUGAGUGGAACUGCGAGUGUAGAGGUGAAAUUCGUAGAUAUUCGCAAGAACACCAGUGGCGAAGGCGGCUCACUGGCCCGAUACUGACGCUGAGGCACGAAAGCGUGGGGAGCAAACAGAAUUAGAUACCCCGGUAGUCCCUGUCUCUUAUAC
rnacentral:rRNA from 1 species